rnacentral:lncRNA from 1 species
GUUUCAUAGAGAGAAUGUUCAAAUAUGUAUAGAGUAAUUUGAAGGCUUCAAAAACAAUGUUGUAAAGUUAACUCACUCUGUGGUUAGCCACGAAUUGUGUCCUAGAUGACGUUUGUCCUUUGAAAAGUUCUCCAGAACUGGUAUGACCUUGCAAUGUUCAGUUUGAGAUACGUGUGAGCAGGGGAAAGGUAGCGAUGAUACGAUGUUUUAAUGUUCUUAUAAGGUUAAAGAUGGAUAAUCCUCCUAGACUGGAACACAUAAACAGAUUAAGAAUAUAAUCAAACGAAC